rfam:Picea glauca, whole genome shotgun sequence.
GGGUAUGAUCAUACUAGCGUUAAUGCACCGGAUCCCAUCAAAACUCUGGAGUUAAGCGCGCUUGGGCUAGAGUAGUACUGGGAUGGGUGACCUCCUGGGAAUUCCUAAUGUUGCACCCU